AGAGUCGGCCAUGUCGUCGCGGCACCACGGGUGGUGUCGAGGAAAGUCCGGGCUCCAUAGGGCAGAACGCCAGGUAACCCCUGGGAGGCGCGAGCCUACGGAAAGUGCAACAGAGAGCAGACCGCCCACGGCUCGUCGCAGACACCGUGGGUAAGGGUGAAAGGGUGCGGUAAGAGCGCACCGCGCCACCGGCAACGGUGAGCGGCACGGUAAACCCCGUUCGGAGCAAGACCAAAUAGGAGGACGACGUGCGGCCCGCAUAGUCCUCGGGUAGGUCGCAUGAGGUGCACGGCGACGUGCAUCCCAGAUGAAUGACGACACACG
rnacentral:RNase_P_RNA from 1 species